GACGAACGCUGGCGGCGUGCUUAACACAUGCAAGUCGAACGGAAAGGCCCUGCUUUUGUGGGGUGCUCGAGUGGCGAACGGGUGAGUAACACGUGAGUAACCUGCCCUUGACUUUGGGAUAACUUCAGGAAACUGGGGCUAAUACCGGAUAGGAGCUCCUGCUGCAUGGUGGGGGUUGGAAAGUUUCGGCGGUUGGGGAUGGACUCGCGGCUUAUCAGCUUGUUGGUGGGGUAGUGGCUUACCAAGGGUUUGACGGGUAGCCGGCCUGAGAGGGUGACCGGCCACAUUGGGACUGAGAGACGGCCCAGACUGCUACGGGAGGCAGCAGUGGGGAAUAUUGCACAAUGGGCGGAAGCCUGAUGCAGCGACGCCGCGUGCGGGAUGACGGCCUUCGGGUUGUAAACCGCUUUCGCCUGUGACGAAGCGUGAGUGACGGUAAUGGGUAAAGAAGCACCGGCUAACUACGUG
rnacentral:rRNA from 1 species